rnacentral:hammerhead_ribozyme from 1 species
AAGCGAAACAGGCAAGGUUCGUCCUUGUCUGUCUAUCCAGCGUGGUGGCUGGAUACUGAUGAGCAGCCAAAA